AGAGUUUGAUCCUGGCUCAGGAUGAACGCUAGCGGCGGGCUUAAUACAUGCAAGUCGAGGGGUAGCAAUACACCGGCGCACGGGUGCGUAACGCGUAUGCAAUCUACCUUUAUCUGGGGGAUAGCCCGGGGAAACCCGGAUUAAUACCGCAUAACAAAUUGAUUGGCAUCAAUUGAUUUUAAAAGAUUUAUCGGAUAGAGAUGAGCAUGCGUAAGAUUAGAUAGUUGGCGGGGUAACGGCUCACCAAGUCUACGAUCUUUAGGGGCUCUGAGAGGAGAAUCCCCCACACUGGCACUGAGAUACGGGCCAGACUCCUACGGGAGGCAGCAGUAGGGAAUAUUGGGCAAUGGACGCAAGUCUGACCCAGCCACGCCGCGUGCAGGAAGAAGGCCCUCUGGGUUGUAAACUGCUUUUGACUGGGAAGAAAAGACCUCUUGCGAGAGGAGUUGACGGUACCAGUGGAAUAAGCCACGGCUAACUACGUGCCAGCAGCCGCGGUAAU
rnacentral:rRNA from 1 species